AUUCCAGCUCCAAUAGCGUAUAUUAAAGUUGUUGCAGUUAAAAAGCUCGUAGUUGGAUUUCUGGCGGGAGUCCGGGUCGGCCUUAACGGGUUGCACUGUUGUGACGUCUCGCCGUUUCGAGGGGAAUGGGCUCGCUAUUAGGUUAGUGUGUUCGGGAACCUCGUCGUUUACUGUGAAAAAAUUAGAGUGUUCAAAGCAGGCCUUUGCUGUGAAUACAUUAGCAUGGAAUAAUAAGAUAGGACUGUAGUGCUAUUUUGUUGGUUUGCGUACUAUGGUAAUGAUUAAUAGGGAUAGUUGGGGGUAUUCAUAUUCAAUUGUCAGAGGUGAAAUUCUUGGAUUUAUGGAAGAUGAACUACUGCGAAAGCAUUUACCAAGGAUGUUUUCAUUG
rnacentral:rRNA from 1 species